UACAUGCAGUCGAGCGAAUUGAUGGGAGCUUGCUCCCUGAUAUUAGCGGCGGACGGGUGAGUAACACGUGGGUAACCUGCCUGUAAGAUUGGGAUAACUCCGGGAAACCGGAGCUAAUACCGGAUAACAUGUUGAACCGCAUGGUUCAACAUUGAAAGAUGGCUUUUAGCUAUCACUUACAGAUGGACCCGCGGCGCAUUAGCUAGUUGGUGAGGUAACGGCUCACCAAGGCGACAAUGCGUAGCCGACCUGAGAGGGUGAUCGGCCACACUGGGACUGAAACACGGCCCAAACUCCUACGGGAGGCAGCAGUAGGGAAUCUUCCGCAAUGGACGAAAGUCUGACGGAGCAACGCCGCGUGAACGAUGAAGGCCUUCGGGUCGUAAAGUUCUGUUGUUAGGGAAAAACAAGUACCAAAGUAACUGCUGGUACCUUGACGGUACCUAACCAGAAAGCCACGGCUAACUACGUGCCAGCAGCCGCGGUAAUACGUAGGUGGCAAGCGUUGUCCGGAAUUAUUGGGCGUAAAGCGCGCGCAGGUGGUUUCUUAAGUCUGAUGUGAAAGCCCACGGCUCAACCGUGGAGGGUCAUUGGAAACUGGGGAACUUGAGUGCAAAAAAGGAAAGUGGAAUUCCAAGUGUAGCGGUGAAAUGCGUAGAGAUUUGGAGAAACACCAGUGGCGAAGGCGAUUUUCUGGUCUGUAACUGACACUGAGGCGCGAAAGCGUGGGGAGCGAACAGGAUUAGAUACCCUGGUAGUCCACGCCGUAAACGAUGAGUGCUAAGUGUUAGAGGGUUUCCGCCCUUUAGUGCUGCAGCAAACGCAUUAAGCACUCC
rnacentral:rRNA from 1 species